rnacentral:rRNA from 1 species
UGGGGAAUUUUGGACAAUGGGGGAAACCCUGAUCCAGCCAUCCCGCGUGUGCGAUGAAGGCCUUCGGGUUGUAAAGCACUUUUGGCAGGAAAGAAACGUCAUGGGUUAAUACCCCGUGAAACAGACGGUACCUGCAGAAUAAGCACCGGCUAACUACGUGCCAGCAGCCGCGGUAAUACGUAGGGUGCAAGCGUUAAUCGGAAUUACUGGGCGUAAAGCGUGCGCAGGCGGUUCGGAAAGAAAGAUGUGAAAUCCCAGAGCUCAACUUUGGAACUGCAUUUUUAACUACCGGGCUAGAGUGUGUCAGAGGGAGGUGGAAUUCCGCGUGUAGCAGUGUAAUGCGUAGAUAUGCGGAGGAACACCGAUGGCGAAGGCAGCCUCCUGGGAUAACACUGACGCUCAUGCACGAAAGCGUGGGGAGCAAACAGG